rnacentral:rRNA from 1 species
UACAGAGGAUGCAAGCGUUAUCCGGAAUGAUUGGGCGUAAAGCGUCUGUAGGUGGCUUUUUAAGUCCGCCGUCAAAUCCCAGGGCUCAACUCUGGACAGGCGGUGGAAACUACCAAGCUGGAGUACGGUAGGGGCAGAGGGAAUUUCCGGUGGAGCGGUGAAAUGCGUAGAUAUCAGGAGGAACACCGGUGGCGAAGGCGGCUUUCUGGACAGUAACUGACGCUGAGGCGCGAAAGCUAGGGGAGCAAACAGG